UAUAAUAUUUUGACUCUUCAUCUUAUUUAAAUUUUUUUGCGAUUAAUAUUUUUAUUCUUACUAGAUGAUAAAACAUGAAUAGUACUUUAUGUGUGACUAAUUUUUUUGUUUUUUAUAAAUUUUUCAAAUAAUAUGAAUGAUCAAACGUUGGAUACAGAAAAACA
rnacentral:pre_miRNA from 1 species